GACGAACGCUGGCGGCGUGCCUAACACAUGCAAGUCGAACGGGGGGAACAUGAAGUAUUUCGGUACGGAAUGCGCCCCUAGUGGCGAACGGGUGAGUAACACGUGGGCAACCUGCCCCAGACUGGGGGAUAACAUUGUGAAAACAGUGCUAAUACCGCAUGACAGGGUUCCGGGCAUCCGGGACCCUUGAAAGGAGAAAUCCGGUCAGGGAUGGGCCCGCGUCCAAUUAGCUAGUUGGCGGGGUAACGGCCCACCAAGGCGACGAUUGGUAGCCGAACUGAGAGGUUGAUCGGCCACAUUGGGACUGAGACACGGCCCAGACUCCUACGGGAGGCAGUAGUGGGGAAUAUUGGGCAAUGGGCGAAAGCCUGACCCAGCGACGCCGCGUGAAGGAUGAAGGUCUUCGGAUUGUAAACUUCUUUGAUCAGGGAAGAAAGAAAUGACGGUACCUGAAAACAAGACCACGGCUAACUACGUG
rnacentral:rRNA from 1 species